rnacentral:rRNA from 1 species
GACGAACGCUGGCGGCGUGCCUAAUACAUGCAAGUAGAACGCACAGUUUAUACCGUAGCUUGCUACACCAUAGACUGUGAGUUGCGAACGGGUGAGUAACGCGUAGGUAACCUGCCUGGUAGCGGGGGAUAACUAUUGGAAACGAUAGCUAAUACCGCAUAAUAUUGAUUAUUGCAUGAUAAUUGAUUGAAAGAUGCUAUUGCAUCACUACCAGAUGGACCUGCGUUGUAUUAGCUAGUAGGUGAGGUAACGGCUCACCUAGGCGACGAUACAUAGCCGACCUGAGAGGGUGAUCGGCCACACUGGGACUGAGACACGGCCCAGACUCCUACGGGAGGCAGCAGUAGGGAAUCUUCGGCAAUGGACGAAAGUCUGACCGAGCAACGCCGCGUGAGUGAAGAAGGUUUUCGGAUCGUAAAGCUCUGUUGUAAGAGAAGAACGGGUGUGAGAGUGGAAAGUUCACACUGUGACGGUAUCGUACCAGAAAGGGACGGCUAACUACGU